rnacentral:lncRNA from 1 species
UCUCGCUUUGUCACCCAGGCUGGAGUGCAGUGGCGUGAUCUUGGCUCAUUGAAACCUCCACCUCCCAGAGAACCUUUGAUUUAAACAGCAAAACAUACAGAAAUAAUACCAUCCCCACUGACUGAACAUUGGACUGAAUAGUAGGACAUGAAACUUCUCAACCUGAUGAAAAUGAGCUUUCCUAAUAACUUGGGACCUACCUGUCUAAAAAUAAACUAUCGUAGCCAUGAGUGAUCCGACAAAAUCUGAGACCAGAGACUCAUUUUCUUCUCAAAUGCUUUCUCCAGAAGAUUUUUUAAAGAACAAGGAAUCUUCAGGGGCCAAAUCCUGACACAACGAGGCACCUUCUGAAUUCUCUCUCCAAUAAAAGCUUACUUCAAGACUGGAACCCACUCCCAGAUACAGACUGACUACAAGAUUGACUGUGAUUAAUUUGUAACCUGGUAGGGCCCUCAAUGGCCCCAGCCCCUACAUCAGAGGGAACAAUAAUUCAAGAUGAGCCAUUGGAGCAAGUCUCAUCACCUGGCACUUCCUAGCAUUCCCUGCCUCUUCUGCAUUCCAAACUCUCUCUUAAAAAACCCCUGCAUUCCCUCCAAAAAUUGAAAAGUAAAAUUUUUCUUAGCCACUCUUCCCCUUGCUGGCACGAAUAAUAAAGUUUCAGUCUUUUUCUAUCACAUCUCGUUAUUAUUUUGGCUUCUUUCUACAAGUGGCGAGCAGUCAAACACUUUUGCCAGUUACAAAGUGACUUUGAGAGUCUGGAUAGCAGAACCUACCACAGGGGGACAGCCUUGCUCACUCAAGAAGCCCCCUGCCCACCCCUCCCUUGGACUCCCACAGGAAUCAACUAUGAAGGAGGAACUAAACCCAUCCAGAGUGUGUAGGGGUUAAUGGAAGAGGGCCAGAAAAGAGAGGCCAGAGUAGUGGACAAUUUGGUUGGCAAAACCUGACUAUUGCUCCCUUUAUAGUGCAUAGGUUG